CCGAGUUUACAACUCCCAAACCCCUGUGAACAUACCUAUACGUUGCCUCGGCGGAUCAGCCCGCGCCCCGUAAAAAGGGACGGCCCGCCCGAGGACCCCUAAACUCUGUUUUUAGUGGAACUUCUGAGUAAAACAACAAAUAAAUCA
rnacentral:misc_RNA from 1 species